rnacentral:rRNA from 1 species
AGUUGUAAUUUGUAGAGGAUGCUUCGGGUUCGGCGCCGGUCUAAGUUCCUUGGAACAGGACGUCAUAGAGGGUGAGAAUCCCGUAUGUGACCGGCCGCCACGCCCGUGUGAAGCUCCUUCGAUGAGUCGAGUUGUUUGGGAAUGCAGCUCAAAAUGGGUGGUAAAUUUCAUCUAAAGCUAAAUAUUGGCCAGAGACCGAUAGCGCACAAGUAGAGUGAUCGAAAGAUGAAAAGCACUUUGGAAAGAGAGUCAAACAGUACGUGAAAUUGUUGAAAGGGAAGCGCUUGCAACCAGACUUGCCCGCGGGUGAUCAACCGGUAUUCUUACCGGUGCACUCGCCCGUGGUCAGGCCAGCAUCGGUUUGGGCGGCUGGAUAAAGUCCCCCGGAAUGUAGCUCCUCUCGGGGAGUGUUAUAGCCGGAGGUGCCAUGCAACCCGCCUGGACCGAGGACCGCGCUUCGGCUAGGAUGCUGGCGUAAUGGUCGUAAGCGACCCGUCUUGAAACACGGACCAAGGAGUCUAACAUCUAUGCGAGUGUUUGGGUGUCAAACCCAUGCGCGUAAUGAAAGUGAACGGAGGUGGGAACCCUUAAGGGUGCACCAUCGACCGAUCCUGAUGUCUUCGGAUGGAUUUGAGUAAGAGCAUAGCUGUUGGGACCCGAAAGAUGGUGAACUAUGCCUGAAUAGGGUGAAGCCAGAGGAAACUCUGGUGGAGGCUCGCAGCGGUUCUGACGUGCAAAUCGAUCGU